GCCUGCCUCACCUCACCUCAGCCGGGGGGAAAGAGUCACACAGAGGCUUCAGUUCCUCCUGCUGGGGCUGCUCCAUUCUCAGUUGCAGAGACACAGUCAGGAAGAUGUCAGAAGCUUUCAGUGAGGAGGGAUCAGAAGAGGCAGGGUUCUCUGCAGCCAUAACUCUUCUGUGGAGAGCUGGACCCAGCCCUGUGGGACAGGAGCUGCCACUGGCGCUGAGUGUGGUGA